ensembl:misc_RNA Vault Vault RNA
GCGUUGGUUUAGCUCAGCGGUUACUUCUGAUUGUUACCAAAUCUUCGUCUUACGGCCGCCGGGGAUCGAACCUCGGGCACAGUUCAAAAUGUUC